UUGAACACACCGUGUAAACAUUCACAGUGCAGGGUGGGAAAAGUAUGUGAACCCUUGGAUUUAAUAACUGGUUGACCCUCUUUUGGCAGCAAUGACCUCAACCAAACGUUUUCUGUCGUUGAGGAUCAGACCUGCACAACGGGGGCAGGAGGAAUUUUGGAUUUUUUCUUCUGAGCAAAACUGUUCCAGUUCAGCAAUACUCUUGGGAUGUCCGGUGUGAACUGCUCUUAAGGUCAAUACUCUUGGGAUGUCUGGUGUGAACUGCUCUUGAGGUCAAUACUCUUGGGAUGUCCGGUUGAACUGCUCUUGAGGUCAAUACUCUUGGGAUGUCCCGUGUGAACUGCUCUUGAGGUCAAUACUCUCGGGAUGUCUGGUGUGAACUGCUCUUGAGGUCAAUACUCUUGGGAUGUCUGGUGUGAACUGCUCUUGAGGUCAAUACUCUUGGGAAGUCUGGUGUGAACUGCUCUUGAGGUCAAUACUCUUGGGAUGUCUGGUGUGAACUGCUCUUGAGGUCAAUACUCUUGGGAUGUCCGGUGUGAACUGCUCUUAAGGUCAAUACUCUUGGGAUGUCCGGUGUGAACUGCUCUUAAGGUCAAUACUCUUGGGAUGUCUGGUGUGAACUGCUCUUGAGGUCAAUACUCUUGGGAUGUCCGGUGUGAACUGCUCUUGAGGUCAAUACUCUUGGGAUGUCUGGUGUGAACUGCUCUUGAGGUCAAUACUCUUGGGAUGUCUGGUGUGAACUGCUCUUGAGGUCAAUACUCUUGGGAUGUCCGGUGUGAACUGCUCUUGAGGUCAAUACUCUUGGGAUGUCCGGUGUGAACUGCUCUUAAGGUCAAUACUCUUGGGAUUUCCGGUGUGAACUGCUCUUGAGGUCAAUACUCUUGGGAUGUCUGGUGUGAACUGCUCUUGAGGUCAAUACUCUUGGGAUGUCUGGUGUGAACUGCUCUUGAGGUCAAUACUCUUGGGAUGUCUGGUGUGAACUGCUCUUGAGGUCAAUACUCUUGGGAUGUCCGGUGUGAACUGCUCUUGAGGUCAAUACUCUUGGGAUGUCUGGUGUGAACUGCUCUUGAGGUCAUGCAACAGCAUCUCAAAUCGGGUUGAGGUCAGGACUAGGCGACUCCAGGAGGCGUAUUUUCUUCUGUUGAAGUCAUUCUGUUGUUGAUUUACUUCUUCUUCUGUGGUGUUUUGGGUCGUUGUAAUGUUGCGUCACCAAACUUCUGGGUGAUGUCCUGUUGAGCUUCACUUGGCGGACAGAUGACAAAGAGCAAAUAAAAGUAGCAUUUUCAGAGAAAGAAGCAUCAUUACUGGCACAAAAUACAACAAGUUGGGUACUUUACAAGUGACGUUGCUUGUUUUUUCGCAUGUCUACGAUAAACCAUCCCUUUUUUCAAUGCCAAAGUUGUCCAUUUACAAAAAAUAUAAAUUCUAUGUGCAACUUGCCCACAAAAUAUGAGCCUUAAAAAUACUUAAUUUCAUGCAAAUAUAUGAACAUAAAAUAAGAUUACAUUCUCCUGCAAAAUGUCUUGAUAAACUUGGGAUAUCUGUCGAUGAUAGCAAGCUGCCCUGAGGCAGGAAACAGUGAUGCUCCCUCCACCAUACUUCCUGCCCUGAGGCAGGAAACAGUGAUGCUCCCUCCACCAUACUUCCUGCCCUGAGGCAGGAAACAGUGAUGCUCCCUCCACCAUACUUCCUGCCCUGAGGCAGGAAACAGUGAUGCUCCCUCCACCAUACUUCCUGCCCUGAGGCAGGAAACAGUGAUGCUCCCUCCACCAUACUUGACUUUUUUUUUUCUCAACCCAUAGUGUUGUGUGUUCCUUCCAAACAACUCAACUGUAGUUUCAUCUGUCCACUGAAUAUUUUGCCAGAAACGCUGUGGAACAUCCACUAUUGCAAACUUCAGACGUGCAGCAAUGGGUUUUUUUGGACAGCAGUGGCUUCUUCCGUGGUGUCCUCCAAUGAACACUACUCUUGUUUAGUGUUUUACGUAUCGUAGACUCGUCAACAGAGAUGUUAGCAUGUUCCAGAGAUUUCUGUAAGUCUUUAGCUGACACUCUAAGAUUCAUUGAGCAUUCUGCACUGUGCUCUUGCAGUCGUCUUUGCAGGACGGCCACUCCUAGGGAGAGUAGCAACAGUGCUGAACUUUCUCCAUUUAUAGACAAUUUGUCUUAUUGUGGACUGAUGAAAAUCAAGGCUUUUAGAGAUACUUGAACCCUUUCCAGCUUUAUGCAAGUCAUCAAUAAGCGUAGGUCUUCUGAGGUCUCUUUUGUUUGAGGCAUGGUUCACAUCAGGAAAUGUUUCUUGUGAACAGCAAACUAACAUUUUGUGAGUGUUUUUUAUAUUGCAGGGCAGCUCUAACCAACAUCUCCAAUCUCGUCUCAUUGAUUGGACUCCAGGUUAGCUGACUCCUGAC